CAGAACUAAAACUAGAGAUAGGUCCAGGGAACGAAGAGAUAUAGCGCCACAUUACAUCGAAUCGCCAAUACCUGUACCUAUCUACUAUGGUAGUUUUCCUCCGAGACCUAUCGUAGUAAACCCUAUGGUUCCAUUAAGAGG